rnacentral:tRNA from 1 species
AGUAAGGUCAGCUAAUAAAGCUCUCGGGCCCAUACCCCGAAAACGGUGGUUUCAACCCACCCCGUACUA